AGUGAACGCUGGCGGUAGGCCUAACACAUGCAAGUCGAACGGCAGCACAGUAAGAGCUUGCUCUUACGGGUGGCGAGUGGCGGACGGGUGAGGAAUACAUCGGAAUCUACUUUUUCGUGGGGGAUAACGUAGGGAAACUUACGCUAAUACCGCAUACGACCUACGGGUGAAAGCAGGGGAUCUUCGGACCUUGCGCGAUUGAAUGAGCCGAUGUCGGAUUAGCUAGUUGGCGGGGUAAAGGCCCACCAAGGCGCCGAUCCGUAGCUGGUGUGAGAGGAUGAUCAGCCACACUGGAAGUGAGACACGGUCCAGACUCCUACGGGAGGCAGCGGUGGGGAAUAUUGGACAAUGGGCGGAAGCCUGAUCCAGCCAUACCGCGUGGGUGAAGAAGGCCUUCGGGUUGUAAAGCCCUUUUGUUGGGAAAGAAAAGCAGCAGGUUAAUACCCCGCUGUUCUGACGGUACCCAAAGAAUAGGCACCGGCUAACUUCGUG
rnacentral:rRNA from 1 species